UACGUAGGGGGCAAGCGUUGUCCGGAAUCAUUGGGCGUAAAGAGCGUGUAGGCGGCUCGGUAAGUCCGCUGUGAAAGUCCGGGGCUCAACCCUGGAAUGCCGGUGGAAACUGUCGAGCUCGAGUCCGGAAGAGGCGAGUGGAAUUCCUGGUGUAGCGGUGAAAUGCGCAGAUAUCAGGAGGAACACCAAUGGCGAAGGCAGCUCGCUGGGACGGUACUGACGCUGAGACGCGAAAGCGUGGGGAGCGAACAGG
rnacentral:rRNA from 1 species